UGAGGAAUAUUGGUCAAUGGACGCAAGUCUGAACCAGCCAAGUAGCGUGCAGGAUGACGGCCCUAUGGGUUGUAAACUGCUUUUAUAUGGGGAUAAAGUGGGGAACGUGUUCCCUUUUGCAGGUACCAUAUGAAUAAGGACCGGCUAAUUCCGUGCCAGCAGCCGCGGUAAUACGGAAGGUUCGGGCGUUAUCCGGCUUUAUUGGGUUUAAAGGGAGCGUAGGCCGUUUGGUAAGCGUGUUGUGAAAUGUAGGAGCUCAACUUCUAGAUUGCAGCGCGAACUGUCGGAAUUGAGUGCGCACAAGGUAGGCGGAAUUCAUGGUGUGGCGGUGAAAUGCUUAGAUAUCAUGAAGAACACCGAUUGCGAGGGCAGCUAACGAGAGCGCUACAGACGCUGAAGCUCGAAGGUGCGGGUAUCGAACAGG
rnacentral:rRNA from 1 species